rfam:Oceanibaculum indicum P24 contig3, whole genome shotgun sequence.
GCUGCGGUAGCUCAGUGGUAGAGCACUCCAUUGGUAAUGGAGAGGUCGACAGUUCAAUCCUGUCUCGCAGCA